UACGUAGGGUGCAAGCGUUGUCCGGAAUUAUUGGGCGUAAAGAGCUCGUAGGCGGUCAGUCGCGUCUGCUGUGAAAACUCGGGGCUCAACUCCGAGCUUGCAGUCGAUACGGGCAGGCUAGAGUUCGGCAGGGGAGACUGGAAUUCCUGGUGUAGCGGUGAAAUGCGCAGAUAUCAGGAGGAACACCGGUGGCGAAGGCGGGUCUCUGGGCCGAUAUUGACGCUGAGGAGCGAAAGCGUGGGGAGCAAACAGG
rnacentral:rRNA from 1 species